rnacentral:misc_RNA from 1 species
AUGAACGCAAGUGAAUUCCGAAGGAGAGGGAAGGAGAUGGUGGAUUACAUGGCCAACUACAUGGAAGGCAUUGAGGGACGCCAGGUCUACCCUGACGUGGAGCCCGGGUACCUGCGGCCGCUGAUCCCUGCCGCUGCCCCUCAGGAGCCAGACACGUUUGAGGACAUCAUCAACGACGUUGAGAAGAUAAUCAUGCCUGGGGCGGCAAGCCCAGCAUGCACAGAGCUGGAGACUGUGAUGAUGGACUGGCUCGGGAAGAUGCUGGAACUACCAAAGGCAUUUUUGAAUGAGAAAGCUGGAGAAGGGGGAGGAGUGAUCCAGGGAAGUGCCAGUGAAGCCACCCUGGUGGCCCUGCUGGCCGCUCGGACCAAAGUGAUCCAUCGGCUGCAGGCAGCGUCCCCAGAGCUCACACAGGCCGCUAUCAUGGAGAAGCUGGUGGCUUACUCAUCCGAUCAGGCACACUCCUCAGUGGAAAGAGCUGGGUUAAUUGGUGGAGUGAAAUUAAAAGCCAUCCCCUCAGAUGGCAACUUCGCCAUGCGUGCGUCUGCCCUGCAGGAAGCCCUGGAGAGAGACAAAGCGGCUGGCCUGAUUCCUUUCUUUAUGGUUGCCACCCUGGGGACCACAACAUGCUGCUCCUUUGACAAUCUCUUAGAAGUCGGUCCUAUCUUUUGCAGAUUCAUUCAACUUUAAUCCCCACAAAUGGCUAUUGGUGAAUUUUGACUGUUCUGCCAUGUGGGUGAAAAAGAGAACAGACUUAACGGGAGCCUUUAGACUGGACCCCACUUACCUGAAGCACAGCCAUCAGGAUUCAGGGCUUAUCACUGACUACCGGCAUUGGCAGAUACCACUGGGCAGAAGAUUUCGCUCUUUGAAAAUGUGGUUUGUAUUUAGGAUGUAUGGAGUCAAAGGACUGCAGGCUUAUAUCCGCAAGCAUGUCCAGCUGUCCCAUGAGUUUGAGUCACUGGUGCGCCAGGAUCCCCGCUUUGAAAUCUGUGUGGAAGUCAUUCUGGGGCUUGUCUGCUUUCGGCUAAAGGGUUCCAACAAAGUGAAUGAAGCUCUUCUGCAAAGAAUAAACAGUGCCAAAAAAAUCCACUUGGUUCCAUGUCACCUCAGGGACAAGUUUGUCCUGCGCUUUGCCAUCUGUUCUCGCACGGUGGAAUCUGCCCAUGUGCAGCGGGCCUGGGAACACAUCAAAGAGCUGGCGGCCGACGUGCUGCGAGCAGAGAGGGAGUAGGAGUGAAGCCAGCUGCAGGAAUCAAAAAUUGAAGAGAGAUAUAUCUGAAAACUGGAAUAAGAAGCAAAUAAAUAUCAUCCUGCCUUCAUGGAACUCAGCUGUCUGUGGCUUCCCAUGUCUUUCUCCAAAGUUAUCCAGAGGGUUGUGAUUUUGUCUGCUUAGUAUCUCAUCAACAAAGAAAUAUUAUUUGCUAAUUAAAAAGUUAAUCUUCAUGGCCAUAGCUUUUAUUCAUUAGCUGUGAUUUUUGUUGAUUAAAACAUUAUAGAUUUUCAUGUUCUUGCAGUCAUCAGAAGUGGUAGGAAAGCCUCACUGAUAUAUUUUCCAGGGCAAUCAAUGUUCACGCAACUUGAAAUUAUAUCUGUGGUCUUCAAAUUGUCUUUUGUCAUGUGGCUAAAUGCCUAAUAAACAAUUCAAGUGAAAUACUAA